rnacentral:rRNA from 1 species
GAUGAACGCUGGCGGCGUGCCUAAUACAUGCAAGUCGAGCGAACAGACGAGUAGCUUGCUCCUCUGACGUUAGCGGCGGACGGGUGAGUAACACGUGGAUAACCUACCUAUAAGACUGGGAUAACUUCGGGAAACCGGAGCUAAUACCGGAUAAUAUAUUGAACCGCAUGGUUCAAUAGUGAAAGACGGUUUUGCUGUCACUUAUAGAUGGAUCCGCGCCGCAUUAGCUAGUUGGUAAGGUAACGGCUUACCAAGGCGACGAUGCGUAGCCGACCUGAGAGGGUGAUCGGCCACACUGGAACUGAGACACGGUCCAGACUCCUACGGGAGGCAGCAGUAGGGAAUCUUCCGCAAUGGGCGAAAGCCUGACGGAGCAACGCCGCGUGAGUGAUGAAGGUCUUCGGAUCGUAAAACUCUGUUAUUAGGGAAGAACAAAUGUGUAAGUAACUAUGCACGUCUUGACGGUACCUAAUCAGAAAGCCACGGCUAACUACGUG